CCAAUAGCGUAUAUUAAAGUUGCUGCAGUUAAAAAGCUCGUAGUUGAAUUUCGGGAUCAAUUUACUGGUCGUGCCUACGGUACGUACUGGUUUUGUUGGUUCCUCCUUUCUGAGGAGCCGCGAUGUCAUUAACUUGGUGUCGCGGGGAAUCAGGACUGUUACUUUGAGAAAAUUAGAGUGUUUAAAGCAGGCUAACGCUUGAAUACAUUAGCAUGGAAUAAUGAAAUAGGACGUUUGAUCCUAUUUUGUUGGUUUCUAGGGUCGACGUAAUGAUUAAUAGGGAUAGUUGGGGGCAUUAGUAUUCAAUUGUCAGAGGUGAAAUUCUUGGAUUUAUUGAAGACUAACUACUGCGAAAGCAUUUGCCAAGGAUGUUUUCAUUAAUCAAGAACGAAAGUUAGGGGAUCGAAGACGAUCAGAUACCGUCGUAGUCUUAACCAUAAACUAUGCCGACUAGGGAUCGGAUGAUAAAUUUUUAAUAACUCAUUCGGCGCCUUACG
rnacentral:rRNA from 1 species